UGAGAAUAAAGCUUUAAGCGAUUUCAUUGUUAAUGAAAUAGAAGUAACACAACACCCCCA
rnacentral:tRNA from 1 species